rnacentral:misc_RNA from 1 species
UGGUUCUGGCAUCGAUGAAGAACGCAGCGAAAUGCGAUAAGUAAUGUGAAUUGCAGAAUUCAGUGAAUCAUCGAAUCUUUGAACGCACAUUGCGCCCGCCAGCAUUCUGGCGGGCAUGCCUGUUCGAGCGUCAUUUCAACCCCUCAGGCCCUCGUGCCUGGCGUCGGGGCCCCUUCCCCCUCCCCUGCGGAGGGGGAGCCCCCAGAGACAGUGGCGGACCCGCCGCGGCUCCGAGCGCAGUAGUAAAAUUCUCGCUAGGGAGGCCCGCGGUGGAAGAAUACCUGCCGUAAAAACAGAUUUUUAAUCUCUCUCAAGGUUGACCUCGGAUCAGGUAGGAAUACCCGCUGA